GGGAUUUUGGAAGAGCAAAUGUGUGAGUUUUGGUUAAAUGGGGGGUUUUCCAGAGAAAAUGCAUGACUUUCUGUUCAAUGGAGGAUUUUUGUGGUGAAAAUGCGUGGUGUUCAGGUUAAAGCAGGGAUUUUCGAUGAGAAAAUACAUGAUUUGGGGGUUGAAUGUGUUUGUUUGUUUGUUUGUUUUAAGAGAAAACUUGUGAUUUUUGAUGAAUUAUGUAUUUUUGAAGUGAAAAUGCGUGGUUUUCAGGUUAGAUCAGGGAUUCUUGAAGAGAAAAUGCAUCAUUGUCGGGUUACAUGGGGGAUUUCCAAAGAGAAAUCGCCUUUUUUUUUUUUUUUUUCUG
ensembl:lncRNA